rnacentral:snRNA from 1 species
UAACGUGGAGCUGGCUAGGACAUCUGUCACCCCAUUGCUCAUGGGGAUUGAUUCAGCUGCUCUGGCUGGCUAGGCAGGUGUACCCUUCCUCUCCGACCACUCCUGGUACAUUCUUCCUGAAGCUGCUCACAUGGUCAAGGAGGACCCCCGAAUAGAGGAAGGCCAGUCAGUGGAGUAACUGAGCUCCCCUGCUAGGACCUCCAAACAGAUUCUCAAAAAUUAGUAACACAAGUCACUUCAUUUAAUCACCUAGAUCCUGAAUUUCUAUGGAACCAGGAGGGGAUUAUUCAGAUUUUA